GCCCGGUGCGGUGGUGCAUGCCUGUAAUCCCAGCUGCUCGGGAGGCUGAGGCAGGAGGAUCAAGAGUUCAAAAGCCAGCUUCAGCAAUGUCAAGGUGCUAAGCAACUCAGCGAGACCCUGUCUCUA
rnacentral:sRNA from 1 species